UACGUAGGGGGCAAGCGUUGUCCGGAAUCAUUGGGCGUAAAGAGCGCGUAGGCGGCCCUGUAAGUCCGCUGUGAAAGUCAAGGGCUCAACCCUUGGAUGCCGGUGGAUACUGCAGGGCUAGAGUCCGGAAGAGGCGAGUGGAAUUCCUGGUGUAGCGGUGAAAUGCGCAGAUAUCAGGAGGAACACCGAUGGCGAAGGCAGCUCGCUGGGACGGUACUGACGCUGAGGCGCGAAAGCGUGGGGAGCAAUCAGG
rnacentral:rRNA from 1 species